GCCUUGUUGGCGUAGUGGUUAUCGCGUCUCCUUUACACGGAGAAGGUCUCCGGUUCGACCCCGGAACGAGGCU